UACGGAGGAUGCGAGCGUUAUCCGGAUUUAUCGGGUUUAAAGGGUGCGUAGGCGGACGCUUAAGUCAGCGGUAAAAUUGCGGGGCUCAACCUCGUCGAGCCGUUGAAACUGGGUGCCUUGAGUGGGCGAGAAGUACGCGGAAUGCGUGGUGUAGCGGUGAAAUGCAUAGAUAUCACGCAGAACUCCGAUUGCGAAGGCAGCGUACCGGCGCCCAACUGACGCUGAAGCACGAAGGCGUGGGUAUCGAACAGG
rnacentral:rRNA from 1 species